UCCUCUUCGAUGAGUCAUUACGAUGUUGCGUUUGAAUUGGCGGCUCUUGGGGACUGCGCCGGCUCUAAAUAGAAUUCCCCAUUCAUCAUGCAACAAGGCGGAAACGGAUCGUAACUCUUGCGUGCGGGGCAGUCCGAUCGGAUUGUGGCAGUUUCAGUAAGGCGUGAUCGAUCAGAUUUGGAGUAUCUGAUUGAUUCUUUAAAGCACAUCUUCCUCAAGACCCAGAAAUUCAGAUAAAACGGUUAACCAGACCCCUCCCACGGCAUCCGAAUCAGCUGGACGUCGUUUCGAUUCUUUCUGAAAUCUUUUUGCUCAUGUGCGUUGGUUAGUCAACCGAUGGAGCAUUACUUCCCGACUUCAAAACCUUCAGGCAAGGAACUGCUACCAUCUAUGGCCGAGACUGUGAACUUAGAGGAGUCCACAGAAACCAUUCACGAUUCCCAGCCUGUGCAGAUGGCUUCUUCCCUCCCUUUGUCAGUGGUUUUCCGGCGACCGUCGAAGUACAUGUCCCUUUGUGGUGUAUGAACUACGUAAUGGGCAUUGUAGCGAAGAAUAAACUGCGUGCUGCACUGCCAAGCGUGUCAUGCCUCGUCCUGUACACAUUUCACCUUGAUGAACCAACUUAUGUUCUUACCUGCUCUGGACUCUGGUUCCAGUCGUUAGUCGCAAGUAGUGUUGUAGAAGUUUGCCGUUGAAACUCCUUAAAUCGUUGUGAACGCAUCUCGGCCAAUCAAGGGUUGAUCCUGUUAUAAAUUCUCGUUAAGAGCUGAUGAGAUCAGAGAGCUUAGCUUCGAUGCUGCUACUUAAAGGUGGGAUCAUUGUUGAUCAGCAUCACUCGAACCAAAAUCCUAUUUAUCUGUAUUCACAAUUGUGCUGUUGCAAGCUUCAGUGCGCACAAACUUGCCGUACAAGUGCAGAUAAUUGCAGGAACUGCAGAAUUGCUUGUAAUCUUAUUCUGUGGUAUGAGAUGACUGUUAUAUAUCAGAGAUUCUUCAAGUGGUCUCUUUCACUC